rnacentral:snoRNA from 2 species
UGGGGACAAGGGGUGGGGAGUAUAUAAAGGAAUGAAUUUCGCGAGCUUUAUUUCCAAUAAAU